rnacentral:rRNA from 1 species
UACGGAAGGGGCAAGCGUUGUUCGGAAUCAUUGGGCGUAAAGGGCGCGUAGGUGGUUCUGUAUGUCUACCGUGAAAGCGUACGGCUCAACCGUAUUUUGUCGGUGGAAACUGCAGGACUUGAGGCUGGGAGGGGCUGGUGGAAUUCCCUGUGUAGCGGUGAAAUGCGUAGAGAUGGGGGAGAACACUCGUGGCGAAGGCGGCCAGCUAGACCAGUUCUGACACUGAGGCGCGACAGCGUGGGGGAGCAAAACAGG